rnacentral:misc_RNA from 1 species
CCUUUCUACGGAGAUUCUGGAAAUCCCCUGCGUGGUCUGCGUGGGGGUCGUGCCUGCGGGUCCGGCCGGUCGGCCGGAUGGUGUGGGCGUGCUGGCGUGGAACGGUCUUGAGGCUGUGGCAUGGAUGCGCUGUUGGGUUCCCGGGCCGCCACCCUUGUGGGUGGUGUUCCCGUCGCCCGUCGGGUUCCUCAUGGGGUGUUGCCCCGUGGCGGGUCCCGGCGGCGCGCUGGUGGCUUGAGAACUGGAUAGUGGACGCGAGCGGAUGGCCGGCUGUGAGGCCGGUUGUCUGCUGUAUUGUUUCGUCCGGGCCCAUGCGAGUGGGUUCGGGUCGAUCGUUUUGUGAUCGUUUAGUGUGAUGAUUUGUCGUCUGGCAGUUCGCAGUUGUUGUUGUCGUGGCAUGGCCUGUGGUCG